rnacentral:misc_RNA from 1 species
CCCGAUAUCUUGGAAAUGGUCUUCCACAUUCCAGUUUGAGAAUCCAAAACCGAAAUCCCCAAUGGAGUCCACAAGCAUGUCCUCGAAAUCGUCUUUUAGAAAUCCGUCUAGCAUACUCGUUUCGUUGAAUAUGUCCCGCAUGGAACUCUGAAAGUCAAAAUUAUCGUUGGGAAACAAAGUGUUGAUGGAAGAAUACUCUGAGAACUCCAAGAAAUUCUCCGAUACGCUCGAUUCUUCUUUGGUUUCUCGGGCUUC